CAUCAACAAUCAGCAAUAUUAAGCUCAUUAGUUACUCCAAAUACACACAAAAAUCCUUCCAGUAUUUAACGAUUUAUAAAUCAUCAUCAUAACUCCUAUUUAUUUUUUGUUAAUUCAAAUAAAUCAUACUCUACUCUACUCUACUCUACUCCUAAAGAAAUACCCCAAGAAAUUUCAUUUACCAACUUUGAAGAAAGAUAGGAUUUCAGAUCAGAAUGAAACAGGGAAAUCCUGUGUUUCUCGAGGUUUAUAUAAACUUAGUCAAAGUUUGGAAAUCGUAGUCGGAUUCUGAUCAGUAAAUGUGAUGUUACAUAACCUAAAAAAAUAAAAGCGCGGACCUUGGGAUAUCUGGUAGGAUUCAGCCUAUAGAGUCUGGCAAGUAAUCCCUAGGUACGGAGAUCUCACGUAAAACUGUUCGGAAUCCAGUCUCAAGCUGGGAGUAAGUAGCGAGAUUUCUACACGGUUCGAAGCCUGGAAUCCGUCGAUUUAAGCUAACCACGUCGAAUCUCAAUGUGGGUUAGCAAAACAUUUAUUCAAGUAGGGAGUUUUAGAUACGUUGCAAAUAUCAAUGAAUGUCUGAGUCCGUACGUCGAUGAAUCCGCGAGAUUAUAUAUUCGUAAUUUAUCAAUGCAUUUGCUCCUGCGAUAUAUUAUUCCGAUAAGUAUCGAUUUGAGGACGACGUUUGUCACCGACGAUAUGCACUGUAUAAAUGAUAAAAUUGAAUGAAAAUCAAAUAUAAGAACGCAUUAUAGAA